rnacentral:rRNA from 1 species
UACGUAGGGUGCGAGCGUUAAUCGGAAUUACUGGGCGUAAAGCGUGCGCAGGCGGUUUGUUAAGUCUGAUGUGAAAGCCCCGGGCUCAACCUGGGAACUGCAUUGGAAACUGGCAAGCUCGAGUAUGGCAGAGGGGGGGUGGAAUUCCGCGUGUAGCAGUGAAAUGCGUAGAGAUGCGGAGGAACACCGAUGGCGAAGGCAGCCCCCUGGGCCAAUACUGACGCUCAGGCACGAAAGCGUGGGGAGCAAACAGG